rnacentral:rRNA from 1 species
GAACGAUGAAGCCCUUCGGGGUGGAUUAGUGGCGAACGGGUGAGUAACACGUGGGCAAUCUGCCCUUCACUCUGGGACAAGCCCUGGAAACGGGGUCUAAUACCGGAUAUGACCGUCUUGGGCAUCCUUGACGGUGUAAAGCUCCGGCGGUGAAGGAUGAGCCCGCGGCCUAUCAGCUUGUUGGUGAGGUAAUGGCUCACCAAGGCGACGACGGGUAGCCGGCCUGAGAGGGCGACCGGCCACACUGGGACUGAGACACGGCCCAGACUCCUACGGGAGGCAGCAGUGGGGAAUAUUGCACAAUGGGCGAAAGCCUGAUGCAGCGACGCCGCGUGAGGGAUGACGGCCUUCGGGUUGUAAACCUCUUUCAGCAGGGAAGAAGCGCAAGUGACGGUACCUGCAGAAGAAGCGCCGGCUAACUACGUGCCAGCAGCCGCGGUAAUACGUAGGGCGCAAGCGUUGUCCGGAAUUAUUGGGCGUAAAGAGCUCGUAGGCGGCUUGUCACGUCGGGUGUGAAAGCCCGGGGCUUAACCCCGGGUCUGCAUUCGAUACGGGCUAGCUAGAGUGUGGUAGGGGAGAUCGGAAUUCCUGGUGUAGCGGUGAAAUGCGCA